AGCGAACGCUGGCGGCAGGCCUAACACAUGCAAGUCGAACGAACCUUUCGGGGUUAGUGGCGGACGGGUGAGUAACACGUGGGAACGUGCCUUUAGGUUCGGAAUAACUCAGGGAAACUUGUGCUAAUACCGAAUGUGCCCUUCGGGGGAAAGAUUUAUCGCCUUUAGAGCGGCCCGCGUCUGAUUAGCUAGUUGGUUGAGGUAAUGGCUCACCAAGGCGACGAUCAGUAGCUGGUCUGAGAGGAUGAUCAGCCACAUUGGGACUGAGACACGGCCCAAACUCCUACGGGAGGCAGGAGUGGGGAAUCUUGCGCAAUGGGCGAAAGCCUGACGCAGCCAGGCCGCGUGAAUGAUGAAGGUCUUAGGAUUGUAAAAUUCUUUCACCGGGGACGAUAAUGACGGUACCCGGAGAAGAAGCCCCGGCUAACUUCGUG
rnacentral:rRNA from 1 species